AACGCACCUUGCACUCUUUGGUAUUCCGAAGAGUAUGUCUGUUUGAGUGUCAUGAAACUCUCAACCCCCUCGUUUUGUAAUGAAAUGAGCGUGGGCUUGGUUUAUGGCUGUUUGUCGGCUUUCGUUAGCCGGCUCAGCUGAAAUUGACGAGCAACCCAGUUUGAAUACUUGACGGUUUGACUCGGCGUAAUAAUUAUUAUCGCUGAGGACGUCUAACUUUCGAAUCGUUAGUGGUGCUUCUAGUGCAUUAAUUUACUUUAAGCUUUAGACCUCAAAUCAGUCAGGACUACCCGCUGAACUUAA
rnacentral:misc_RNA from 1 species